GGGCGUAUGGCGCAAUUGGCAGCGCACCUGACUCUUAAUCAGGGGGUUGUGGGUUCGACUCCCACUACGCCCA
rnacentral:tRNA from 2 species